rnacentral:rRNA from 1 species
UACGGGGGGAGCAAACGUUGUUCGGAAUCACUGGGCGUACAGGGAGCGUAGGCGGUUGGAUAAGCCCUCCGUGAAAUCUCCAGGCUUAACCUGGAAAGUGCAGAGGGGACUGUUCAGCUAGAGGAUGGGAGAGGAGCGCGGAAUUCCCGGUGUAGCGGUGAAAUGCGUAGAGAUCGGGAGGAAGGCCGGUGGCGAAGGCGGCGCUCUGGAACAUUUCUGACGCUGAGGCUCGAAAGCGUGGGGAGCAAACAGG